UACGGAGGUUGCAAGCGUUAUCCGGAAUCACUGGGUUUAAAGGGUGCGUAGGCGGUUUGAUAAGUCAGUGGUGAAAGCUUCCCGCUCAACGGGAGAAUUGCCAUUGAUACUGUCAGACUUGAAUCAAUACGAGGCAGGCGGAAUGUGACAUGUAGCGGUGAAAUGCUUAGAUAUGUCAUAGAACACCGAUUGCGAAGGCAGCCUGCCAGAUUUGCAUUGACGCUGAGGCACGAAAGCGUGGGGAGCGAACAGG
rnacentral:rRNA from 1 species